rnacentral:rRNA from 1 species
GGGAGGAAUACCAGUGGCGAAGGCGGCUUUCUGGACUGACACUGACACUGAGGUGCGAAAGCGUGGGUAGCAAACAGGAUUAGAUACCCUGGUAGUCCACGCCGUAAACGAUGUCGACCAGCCGUUGGGUGCCUAGCGCACUUUGUGGCGAAGUUAACGCGAUAAGUCGACCGCCUGGGGAGUACGGCCGCAAGGUUAAAACUCAAAUGAAUUGACGGGGGCCCGCACAAGCGGUGGAGCAUGUGGUUUAAUUCGAUGCAACGCGAAGAACCUUACCUACUCUUGACAUCCUGCGAACUUGUGAGAGAUCACUUGGUGCCUUCGGGAGCGCAGAGACAGGUGCUGCAUGGCUGUCGUCAGCUCGUGUUGUGAAAUGUUGGGUUAAGUCCCGUAACGAGCGCAACCCUUGUCCUUAUUUGCCAGCGGGUAAUGCCGGGAACUCUAAGGAGACUGCCGGUGACAAACCGGAGGAAGGUGGGGACGACGUCAAGUCAUCAUGGCCCUUACGAGUAGGGCUACACACGUGCUACAAUGGCCGGUACAAAGGGUUGCGAGCUCGCGAGAGUCAGCUAAUCCCGAAAAGCCGGUCUCAGUCCGGAUCGGAGUCUGCAACUCGACUCCGUGAAGUCGGAAUCGCUAGUAAUCGUGAAUCAGAAUGUCACGGUGAAUACGUUCCCGGGCCUUGUACACACCGCCCGU